rnacentral:rRNA from 1 species
GAUGAACGCUGGCGGCGUGCUUAACACAUGCAAGUCGAACGAAGCACUUUAUUUGAUUUCCUUCGGGACUGAUUAUUUUGUGACUGAGUGGCGGACGGGUGAGUAACGCGUGGGUAACCUGCCUUGUACAGGGGGAUAACAGUUGGAAACGGCUGCUAAUCCCGCAUAAGCGCACAGCAUCUCUUGAUGCAGUGUGAAAAACUCCGGUGGUAUAAGAUGGACCCGCGUUGGAUUAGCUAGUUGGUGUGGUAACGGCCCACCAAGGCGACGAUCCAUAGCCGACCUGAGAGGGUGACCGGCCACAUUGGGACUGAGACACGGCCCAAACUCCUACGGGAGGCAGCAGUGGGGAAUAUUGCACAAUGGGCGAAAGCCUGAUGCAGCGACGCCGCGUGAGCGAAGAAGUAUUUCGGUAUGUAAAGCUCUAUCAGCAGGGAAGAUAAUGACGGUACCUGACUAAGAAGCACCGGCUAAAUACGUG